rnacentral:ncRNA from 2 species
AUCUUAUCAAGAGAGGUGGAGGGACUGAGCCCUAUGAAACCCGACAACCGGCCUGAUGGCACGGUGCCAAUUCCUGCAGGAGAAUUAUUCCUGAGAGAUGAGUA